rnacentral:piRNA from 1 species
UGGGAGGAUAAACCUGUGUGUUUGAAGCC